GGCUUCAUAGCUCCCGGCAGUUGGUAGAGCAACGCAGUAGUAACGCGGAGGUCAUGGGUUCAAAUCCCAUUGAAGCCA